ACGCUGGCGGCGUGCCUAAUACAUGCAAGUCGAACGGACGAGUAAGAGCUUGCUCUUAUGAGUUAGUGGCGCACGGGUGAGUAAUGUAUAGCUAAUCUGCCCUACACUAGAGGACAACAGUUGGAAACGACUGCUAAUACUCUAUACUCCUCUCUAGCAUAAGUUAGAUAGGGAAAGUUUUUCGGUGUAGGAUGAGGCUAUAUUGUAUCAGCUAGUUGGUGAGGUAAUGGCUCACCAAGGCUAUGACGCAUAACUGGUCUGAGAGGAUGAUCAGUCACACUGGAACUGAGACACGGUCCAGACUCCUACGGGAGGCAGCAGUAGGGAAUAUUGCUCAAUGGGGGAAACCCUGAAGCAGCAACGCCGCGUGGAGGAUGACACUUUUCGGAGCGUAAACUCCUUUUGUUAGGGAAGAACAAUGACGGUACCUAACGAAUAAGCACCGGCUAACUCCGUGCCAGCAGCCGCGGUAAUACGGAGGGUGCAAGCGUUACUCGGAAUCACUGGGCGUAAAGGACGCGUAGGCGGAUUAUCAAGUCUCUUGUGAAAUCCUAUGGCUUAACCAUAGAACUGCUUGGGAAACUGAUAAUCUAGAGUGAGGGAGAGGCAGAUGGAAUUGGUGGUGUUAGGGGUAAAAUCCCGUAAAAGAUCACCAGGAAUACCCAUUGCGAAGGCGAUCUGCUGGAACUCAACUGACGCUGAUGCGUGAAAGCGUGGGGAGCAAACAGGAUUAGAUACCCCUGGUAGUCCACGCCCUAAACGAUGUAUAACUAGUUGUUGCUAAGCUAGUCUUGGCAGUAAUGCACCUAACGGAUUAAGUAUACCGCCCUGGGGGUACUACCGCCCCAGAUUAACUCAAGGAAUAGAAGGGGCCGCACACCGGUGGAGCAUGUGGGUUUAAUUCGAA
rnacentral:rRNA from 1 species